UCUGAUCUGAGAGCUCUGGAAAAAGAUGGAUCAACAUGGUUAGUCCACAAGCCUGGUCAAAGCAAAGGGACUAGAGACAGUCUCAGUUUACUGCAAGGACCAGAAGUUGCUGUUCUGCAACCUGCUCAUCUGUGCAUUGAAACAGAAGCUUCUGUUUCACUGGAAAGACUUGUUCCCAAAGUACUUUUUCUGUUAGAAGUUCAGUAAAAAGUACUUGAGAGCUGAACUCUUGCUCACUGCUGGAAGAGGCUCUCUUGGCAACAAGGGAAAACAGAGCAUGCCUUUCAGUUCCCAAAUACAAUCUGUAGAUUUUAUGCUACUUUCAUACUUUGGAUGAUCUCAGCAGCGUGCGUGCACACAUGUGUAUUUAUCUGUAUAGGUAGAUAUUAGUAAGCCUUGCCAAGAGAUCCCAGUGUCACCAGAUUUAGGCUAGGUGUAGGUGGCAGCGACCCAUAUAACCCUUCUAUGGAGCACAAUACACAUGGUCUGGUCAGCCAGUACAAGUACUUUACCUUUCUCUGCUUUCUGAGUCUUCACCUCAUACUCUUGUAGCCUCACCAGCAGCUCCUCCUUCUCCCUCAACAUUUGCUCUUUCUCCCUCUCAAUUGUCUCCCUCUUCUUCUUCUCAUUUUCUAGUUGUUGCCUGUUAGAAACAGAUUUCAUGCUUGAAGCUCACUUUCACACCGAAGCUAGAGCCAGGCAAGAAAGUUGGCUGGGCAUCUCUCCAGGCAAUUGAGUGGGAAGCGACCGCCACAAAAUAAGAGCCAGAAGACAAACACAUAUAGGCUGUUCCUUCAUCACUUCAGAAUUUUUGCUCAGUUUUGGAUACCCCAUUUCAUAAAAACAUUUGUAUUUUUGUUGCCCACCAGAGAAAUUUAGAACACCAAAUAGCUGCUAGAUGCAGAGAAAGAAAACCACAACUCCACUGCACAGCAGAGGAGAUUUAACUUUGUUACUUCUGUCAUAAGGCAAGUCAAGGAGGUGUAAAAACGAGCACUGAGGGAAUGAAGACAAACAAGGCACAAAUACAAGAGAAAAGCAACACAAUUUCUUGAAUCAUAAGCAACCUGCAGCCAGUGGCAGAAGUCCAACAGAAUUGCUAAUCCUUUUUCCUUGCCUGUAAGAGGUCUCCCAGUCCCCUCUUCUCUCUUCACAGUGUACACACAUGCUCCCUUGUGAAGGUUUCUCCCUUACUCCCAACCAUCCCAUGGUCCAACACAUGAAUCAGGUCCUAGCACUCAAGAGCCAGGAGAACCCCUCUCCACGUGUGCACCACCACACAAGCCCACUGUGCCUUUACUUGCACAUUUCCUUGCAAUUCUCAAGACUGCAGACAGGACAGCAGACUACAUGGACACAGGUCCAAGCCAGAAGAGUAACACUUACAGUCCUGCUGCAGGAUAUCCUGAGUCCACCCCUGUAAGCCAGAGCCAUAGGGCCACACGUACACCUUAUGAACGUGGGACAGCUCGUGGCCUUGCCUAAGCGAAACCCAUGUUACCGACUGCUGCUCUGCAGGUACAGCUGCCUGCUCACCCUGGGCAGUUUGGUGUCAUUUCUCUCUGCCACCCCAUCCCUGCUGUCUGUGUUCAAGCUCACCUUUCCAUUUGUUUCUGUUGCUUCUCCUCCCGGGCCUGGGCUUUCAUCUGUUGCACCUCAAUGGUGUCGGGCUUCCUGCGCCGCAUAUACAGUUCAUGGUUGCCCAUGCAGAGCUGCAGGAUCCUCUUGUUAAUUCUCAGACGAGGGGCGUAAAACACAAAGUCCUGGAAGAGAGACACCACACAGUUUUCCAAGCAUGCCUUCUCUUCUCCCAGCUAACUGCAGCCAGAUCAUCUUGCCACUAAUUUCACUGUAAUCGAGACACAUACACAGGCCAUUUAACUAUAACAGCAGGGACUGCCAAUAUCAUCUGAAGCCAAAAUGAUUGUUAUUUAUAUUAUCCAUUUAAAGUCUACAUAGAAUUGAAAAGUUACUCUUCUAGAAAAGGUAUAUUUUAGAGAAAAUUAACAAUCUCCAUUUAGAGGAGACUUUGUGGAGUUCGGAUAGGUUACAGAAGAUUCUGGGUUGGCAGGUAACCAUCUGGGCAACUCAUAGACCUCUAGUAUUGAGUAAUUAGUUUUUAACUUUGCAUGGGUUUGUGACUGAAAGAUAAAGCAUGAAACUAAAAAUAUACUGCAGACUAUUAAAGUAACUUUGUAGAA